rnacentral:misc_RNA from 1 species
AAAAUGCGAUAAGUAAUGUGAAUUGCAGAAUUCAGUGAAUCAUCGAAUCUUUGAACGCACAUUGCGCCCGCCAGUAUUCUGGCGGGCAUGCCUGUUCGAGCGUCAUUUCAACCCUCAAGCCCCCGGGUUUGGUGUUGGGGAUCGGGCUGCGGUUCUACCGCGUCCCGGCCCCGAAAUCUAGUGGCGGUCUCGCUGCAGCCUCCAUUGCGUAGUAGCUAACACCUCGCAACUGGAACGCGGCGCGGCCAAGCCGUUAAAUCCCCAACUUCUGAAUGUUGACCUCGGAUCAGGUAGGAAUACCCGCUGAACUUAAGC